UACGUAGGGCGCAAGCGUUGUCCGGAAUUAUUGGGCGUAAAGAGCUCGUAGGCGGUCUGUCGCGUCGGUCGUGAAAACUUGGGGCUUAACCCUGAGCUUGCGGUCGAUACGGGCAUGACUGGAGUUCGGCAGGGGAGACUGGAAUUCCUGGUGUAGCGGUGAAAUGCGCAGAUAUCAGGAGGAACACCGGUGGCGAAGGCGGGUCUCUGGGCCGAUACUGACGCUGAGGAGCGAAAGCAUGGGGAGCGAACAGG
rnacentral:rRNA from 1 species